rnacentral:lncRNA from 1 species
UCAACAUUCAAAACUGACCAAGGAACCCCACUAGCUAGACAUGUGUAGUGAUUACCAGCAAACCUCAGGCCAGGCUCACUCAGGACUGGCUACCCCCAGGAAGGAGGGGUGGCAUGCCAGUAAGGAACCUGGCCUCAGCAGCAAGUUGUUUUUUUCUGCAAGUAUCGUGUAUUUCUUCUCCAACCAAUUUUGUUCCCCUUGGUUCCUGGGAACCAUUAUAUCGUUAGGUUAAUGGACCAUUGGUUUAUCCACCUGUAUGUUGCCUGAAUUUUGGCCAUUCAACCAUGCAUUCCUGGUGAUUGGGUUUACAAGUACUAGUUUCCUAAGUCCAACAUCAUGUUCAGAUAUCUCGUGACGAUAAAUUGGUGUAGUAACCAUGGUAUGUCAGCAAAGAGAUGGCCCCACUCAUUAAAAAUAUGUUGGUAUUGGAGGCUUCAAAAACUUGUAUAUUUGUUACUGAUAUAUAGAACAAAUAAAUGGCCAAAUACAAAAUUGUGCAGAACCCAGAUUAUCUAGUAUCUAAUAAAGAAUUAAUAAAGAAUAUGUAUUAAUGUAGAUGUCUUUAUUUACAUAUUAAUGGCUUUUUUCAAAUUGGCCAAAUUUUUCAAAACAAUUACAUAUUAAAAAUUGAGAUACAUGGAAAUUCUAACAAUAGAUUUAUAGUCAUUCUUGGGGUGGGCAUUAACACUUUUUGGUAACUUCUGUAAGUUAAUUAUAGUUUAACUUCCUAAUUAAUUAAUUCUGUAUGUUAAUUUAUAGUUUAACUUCCUAGACGCUUUGGUGUCUUUUUUUACCCUCACUUUAAAAUACACACAAUAGUUUAAAUAUAUCACAUUUGGUCAAAAGUUCAAAUUAUUUUAUUAUUUAAAGCAUGUAGAAAAAAUAUAAUAGUUAAAAUUCCUGUGAAAAAUUCUAAUACAGAGGAAUCACAUGGCUAUGUUUGGAAAGAUAAUAUUUCUUUAAAAAUGUGUUGUUUUUUAUGUUUUAUGUUUGCGAUAAGCAUUACUGAAGUUUGAUUGAAGAACUUCAUGAUUUUUAUGUUUUACUUUCUUGUAUUGAGAAAUAGUGGUCCAUUGUUGGGCUGUAUUUAAAAUUAAUGUGUAUAAAACAAGAAAUAUUUAAUUAGAGUUAUUAAUUUUCCACAUUUAAUAUGUGUAUUUGACCUAAAUCAGUAUCUUCUAUCAUAUCAGCCUCACAUAUAACAAGAAUAAUCGCAAGGACAACAACAAAUUUGAAUGUUUCCUUUGUGCCUAUGCUCCUAUCAUGUUAUAUUCAUUCUUAUAAAUCUAACAACUAACAAUUAAUUUGAAGUUAGACACACAGGAUUUACUCAUCAGUAUUAGAGCAUUCACUGCUAGCCAAGAAGGUUACUAUCCCUGGUGCUGAAACUGCUCUGUGUAGUCCUUGUGGUUGAAGAAUUAAAACAGUUUCUCUUAGACAUUUCCUUUCAUUGAAAUUAUGAAUUGGAUAAAUGUUCAUACCUUAAAGGAAGUAUUAAAUUUCACAUAUGUUAACAUCUUAAUUAAUGUAAGAUUAAUAUUCUACUUAUGACUAUGUUUUAGUAUUGAAAAAUGAGUUUCUGAUGAGUUUCAUUAGUUUCUAGAGAAAACAAUGGUUUAAAAAAUUUCAGUACAUAAGACAUUGAGGAGUCUAUGAAUGUUCCAGAAAUCUGAAAACAUAUACCACUAAUCAAAGUUUCUCCAUUCAUGUUGACUAGCAUUUGCCUUAGGUGUCAGAAUUAAUGGAUUUGUGUUAAAAAUAAACACCUGAAAUCUAAUUCCCUAGCUGCAUUAUAACACACUAGAUUACAAGUACUAAGCUUUUAUUUAAUGCUUAUAACGGCUUUAAAUUGUAGCAAAAUGGGCUUCCCCCAAGAGGACUGCUUUGUUGAUCCUAAGAUGGGGUCAUAAGCCAGAAGUUAACUAUGCUUUCAUAUAUUCUUGUAAGUAGAAGUACAGUGUUGGUGUAAAUUCUCCUUAGAUGGAUAGGUAAGCCCAGAGGAAAUAAUGGUCAUUGGCACCAUAUGACCGUAUGCAAUUCAUAUGCAUAUUUAUAUCAAGAAAAGAACAUUAUAGGUCUGGUGAGACCCUAUUUUUUUCUGACAGUGUCAUCUGUAUUUACGUGUCUAUUUCGGGAAUUUGGAAGUCAAGGGAUUCUAUGCUGGAUUGUGAAGCAUCUGUUUCUGCUUGAUGUAGCUACUCAAUUUUGUAUUCUUGACUAAUAAAGUCAUAAACAUAAUGCAA